rnacentral:rRNA from 1 species
AUACGGAGGAUCCGAGCGUUAUCCGGAUUUAUUGGGUUUAAAGGGAGCGUAGGUGGACAGUUAAGUCAGUUGUGAGAGUUCGCGGCUCAACCGUAAAAUUGCAGUUGAUACUGGCUGGCUUGAGUACAGUAGAGUGGGGAGGGCAUGGUGGGGGAGCGGUGAAAUGCUUAGAUAUCACGAAGAACUCCGAUUGCGAAGGCAGCUCACUGGACUGCAACUGACACUGAUGCUCGAAAGUGUGGGUAUCAAACAGGAUUAGAUACCCUGGUAGUCCACACAGUAAACGAUGAAUACUCGCUGUUUGCGAUAUACAGUAAGCGGCCAAGCGAAAGCAUUAAGUAUUCCACCUGGGGAGUACGCCGGCAACGGUGAAACUCAAAUGAAUUGGCGGGG